rnacentral:rRNA from 1 species
ACGCUGGCGGCGGCCUAACACAUGCAAGUCGAGCGAGACCUUCGGGUCUAGCGGCGGACGGGUUAGUAACGCGUGGGAAUAUACCCUUCACUACGGAAUAGCCUCGGGAAACUGGGAGUAAUACCGUAUACGCCCUUUUGGGGAAAGAUUUAUCGGUGAAGGAUUAGCCCGCGUCUGAUUAGAUAGUUGGUGGGGUAAUGGCCUACCAAGUCUACGAUCAGUAGCUGGUUUGAGAGGAUGAUCAGCAACACUGGGACUGAGACACGGCCCAGACUCCUACGGGAGGCAGCAGUGGGGAAUCUUAGACAAUGGGCGCAAGCCUGAUCUAGCCAUGCCGCGUGAGUGACGAAGGCCUUAGGGUCGUAAAGCUCUUUCGCCAGAGAUGAUAAUGACAGUAUCUGGUAAAGAAACCCCGGCUAACUCCGUGCCAGCAGCCGCGGUAAUACGGAGGGGGUUAGCGUUGUUCGGAAUUACUGGGCGUAAAGCGCACGUAGGCGGAUUGGAAAGUAUGGGGUGAAAUCCCAGGGCUCAACCCUGGAACUGCCUUGUAAACUCCCAGUCUAGAGUUCGAGGAGAGGUGAGUGGAAUUCCAAGUGUAGAGGUGAAAUUCGUAGAUAUUUGGAGGAACACCCAGUGGCGAAGGCGGCUCACUGGCUCGAUACUGGACGCUGAGGUGCGAAAGUGUGGGGAGCAAACAGGAUUAGAUACCCUGGUAGUCCACACCGUAAACGAUGAAUGCCAGACGUCAGGGGGCUUGCCCUUUGGUGUCACACCUAACGGAUUAAG